GAUGAACGCUGGCGGCGUGCUUAACACAUGCAAGUCGAACGAUGAAGCCCAGCUUGCUGGGUGGAUUGGUGGCGAACGGGUGAGUAACACGUGAGUAACCUGCCCUUAACUCUGGGAUAAGCCUGGGAAACUGGGUCUAAUACCGGAUAGGAGCGUCCACCGCAUGGUGGGUGUUGGAAAGAUUUAUCGGUUUUGGAUGGACUCGCGGCCUAUCAGCUUGUUGGUGAGGUAAUGGCUCACCAAGGCGACGACGGGUAGCCGGCCUGAGAGGGUGACCGGCCACACUGGGACUGAGACACGGCCCAGACUCCUACGGGAGGCAGCAGUGGGGAAUAUUGCACAAUGGGCGCAAGCCUGAUGCAGCGACGCCGCGUGAGGGAUGACGGCCUUCGGGUUGUAAACCUCUUUCAGUAGGGAAGAAGCGAAAGUGACGGUACCUGCAGAAGAAGCACCGGCUAACUACGUG
rnacentral:rRNA from 1 species